GAAGAGGCGCUGAUGAUGAGAACUACCUAUUUUCUGAAGGGAUUUUUUUCCCCAUGAUUAUAAAUCACCAAUGGAUCCUUCUGAGCCUCUC